rnacentral:misc_RNA from 1 species
UUUCCGUAGGUGAACCUGCGGAAGGAUCAUUAUUGUAUAACCGAGGUGCGAGGGCUGUCGCUGACCCGAAAGGUCGUGCACGCCCGAGUGCCCUCACACACAUCCAUCUCACCCCUAUGUGCACCACCGCGUGGGUCCCCCUUUGGCUUGUUCGGAGGGGGGCUUACGUUUUCACACAAACUUUGUAUGCAGUGUAGAAUGUAUUUUUUGUUUUUGCGAUCACGCAAUCAAUACAACUUUCAACAACGGAUCUCUUGGCUCUCGCGUCGAUGAAGAGCGCAGC